rnacentral:piRNA from 1 species
CUGAAAUUCUUAUUUGUUCUCUGUGGACAG